UUGAAAAUAAAAGUACGGAAAUCAUUCAUGGCUUUUUACUUUCUUUUCCCCCUCAUGCCAUUUCGUUAAGAGGUCUUGAAUCAAGGUCAUGAACACUCAAGCUGUUUGAUUUGGAACGAAAGAAAAUCAAAGAGAACAGAUGAUACAUGAAGGGAAGUGACUGUAUAUUAGGUGUUCUAUGACCUUUACGACAGUUCCAACUCAUCCAGUUGUCAUGCUCUGUCAACUCUUUUAAAAGUUACCAUGGAUUUAUAAUACCAGAGGGCUUAUGGCAAUCUAGGCAGAAAAAGAAGGCACUGUCAAAUCUUGAUGAAUGGUUUUCCCGGCAUCAUUGCCCUGGUAGCUGUGUAAAGUCUGAGAGGAUAUCUCCCUCAACACCUGUGGAAACAGAGCAAACAAUC